GCACAAGGUUGACCUCCCUAAUACUGCCGUGUCGAGCGGACCGACGGGAGCUUGCUCCCUUAGGUCAGCGGCGGACGGGUGAGUAACACGUGGGUAACCUGCCUGUAAGACUGGGAUAACUCCGGGAAACCGGGGCUAAUACCGGAUGCUUGAUUGAACCGCAUGGUUCAAUCAUAAAAGGUGGCUUUUAGCUACCACUUGCAGAUGGACCCGCGGCGCAUUAGCUAGUUGGUGAGGUAACGGCUCACCAAGGCGACGAUGCGUAGCCUACCUGAGAGGGUGAUCGGCCAAACUGGGACUGAGACACGGCCCAGACUCCUACGGGAGGCAGCAGUAGGGAAUCUUCCGCAAUGGACGAAAGUCUGACGGAGCAACGCCGCGUGAGUGAUGAAGGUUUUCGGAUCGUAAAACUCUGUUGUUAGGGAAGAACAAGUACCGUUCGAAUAGGGCGGCACCUUGACGGUACCUAACCAGAAAGCCACGGCUAACUACGUGCCAGCAGCCGCGGUAAUACGUAGGUGGCAAGCGUUGUCCGGAAUUAUUGGGCGUAAAGCGCGCGCAGGCGGUUUCUUAAGUCUGAUGUGAAAGCCCCCGGCUCAACCGGGGAGGGUCAUUGGAAACUGGGGAACUUGAGUGCAGAAGAGGAGAGUGGAAUUCCACGUGUAGCGGUGAAAUGCGUAGAGAUGUGGAGGAACACCAGUGGCGAAGGCGACUCUCUGGUCUGUAACUGACGCUGAGGCGCGAAAGCGUGGGGAGCGAACAGGAUUAGAUACCCUGGUAGUCCACGCCGUAACGAUGAGUGCUAAGUGUUAGAGGGUUUCCGCCCUUUAGUGCUGCAGCAACGCAUUAAGCACUCCGCCUGGGGAGUACGGUCGCAAGACUGAAACUCAAGGAAUUGACGGGGGCCCGCACAAGCGGUGGAGCAUGUGGUUUAAUUCGAAGCAACGCGAGAACCUUACCAGGUCUUGACAUCCUCUGACACCCUAGAGAUAGGGCUUCC
rnacentral:rRNA from 1 species